rnacentral:rRNA from 1 species
AUUGAACGCUGGCGGCAUGCCUAACACAUGCAAGUCGAGCGAGCGGCGGACGGGUGAGUAAUGUCUGGGAAACUUCCUGAUGGAGGGGGAUAACUACUGGAAACGGUAGCUAAUACCGCAUACUAUCAGAUGUGCCCAGUUGGGAUUAGCUGGUAGGUGGGGUAACGGCUCACCGAGGCGACGAUCCCUAGCUGGUCUGAGAGGGUGACCAGCCACACUGGAACUGAGACACGGUCCAGACUCCUACGGGAGGCAGCAGUGGGGAAUAUUGCACAAUGGGCGCAAGCCUGAUGCAGCCAUGCCGCGUGUGUGAAGAAGGCCUUCGGGUUGUAAAACACUUUCAGCGGGGAGGCGUUACCCGCAGAAGAAGCACCGGCUAACUCCGUGCCAGCAGCCGCGGUAAUUC